CCUACGGGUGGCUGCAGUGAGGAAUAUUGGUCAAUGGACGAGAGUCUGAACUAGCCAAGUAGCGUGAAGGAUGACUGCCCUAUGGGUUGUAAACUUCUUUUAUAUGGGAAUAAAAUGUUCCACGUGUGGGCUUUUGUAUGUACCAUAUGAAUAAGGAUCGGCUAACUCCGUUCCAGCAGCGGCGGUAAUACGGAGGAUCCGGGCGUUAUCCGGAUUUAUUGGGUGUAAAGGAGGCGUAGGUAGAUUGUUAAGUCAGUUGUGAAAGUUUGCGGCUCAACCGUAAAAUUGCAGUUGAAACUGGUAGGCUUGAGUACAGUUGAGGGAGGUGGAAUUCGUGGUGUAGCGGUGAAAUGCUUAGAGAUGACGAAGAACUCCGAUUGCGAAGGCAGCUUACUAAACAGAGACUGACAUUGAUGCUCGAAAGUGUGGGGAUCAAACAGGAUUAGAUACCCGUGUAGUC
rnacentral:rRNA from 1 species